GCUGGAAUAUCUCAGUUGGUAGAGCAUAACCUUGCCAAGGUUGGGGUCGCGAGUUCGAGUCUCGUUUCCCGCUCCA
rnacentral:tRNA from 1 species